rnacentral:rRNA from 1 species
AUGGUUUGGCUUCUUGAUGAUGUCUACGACACGAAACACCAGGCCUACAUGAUGCGCGAGAAGGAGAUGAAGCUUGAACCUUUGAAGAUUCGGUAUCACGGGGUCUCUGGUCCUGCCAUGCCUUACGAUGAGCGGUACACACCGUACAUCAAGCAGGCAGGACUACUCCCGUGGAUUCAGUUGGUCAGCCGGUCCACGCCGAAUCUGAACGCUCCACUGGUGUCCGCUCUUGCUGAUCGGUGGAGGCCGGAGACGCAUAGUUUCCAUCUUCGGACCGGGGAGAUGACCGUGACGCUCGAGGAUGUCUCGUUGAUCACCGGUCUUGCUAUCGACGGGAUGCCUCUCUGUAUGAGCACCGAUUCUGAUGGGUGGCGCGAGCAGAUGAUUGCUCUUAUCGAUAUGGCUCCUACUGAGGCUGAGGCUGAUGUAGAGGAGGGAGAAGAGAAGAAGAGCUGCUUUCACGUGGAUUCAAACUCACUUUGCGACGUGCCCUCCGGAUGCCACUGA